CCUACGGGCGGCAGCAGUGAGGAAUAUUGGUCAAUGGGCGGAAGCCUGAACCAGCCAAGUAGCGUGCAGGAUGACGGCCCUACGGGUUGUAAACCGCUUUUGCACGGGGAUAACACCCUCCACUUGUGGAGGUCUGCAGGUACCGUGCGAAUAAGGGCCGGCUAAUUCCGUGCCAGCAGCCGCGGUAAUACGGAAGGCCCGAGCGUUAUCCGGAUUCGUUGGGCUUAAAGGGAGCGUAGGCGGGCGUUCAAGUCAGCUGUAAAAUCGCGCGGCUCAACCCCGUCGAGCCGUUGAAACUGGCAGACGUGAGUUGGCGAGAGGUACGCGGAAUGCGCGGUGUAGCGGUGAAAUGCAUAGAUAUCGCGCAGAACUCCGAUUGCGAAGGCAGCGUACCGGCGCCAGACUGACGCUGAGGCACGAAAGCGUGGGGAUCGAACAGGAUUAGAUACCCUAGUAGUC
rnacentral:rRNA from 1 species